AUCUGGGCGGCGAAAUUCAGGAUGACUGGCGGGCCUCGCGCACGUCCGGUCGUUUGAUGUUUUCGUCGCCGACGCAGACGUCGCGACCUGUCCGUCGUCGGUCCCUGCUCGGAGGAGCUGCUGUCGAGUUCGUUGCGGGCGCGCUUCGGUGCGCAUCGCGGCGAAGGCACGCGGAUCUCUGGCUGACGACGGACAGUAAGCAACGGUGUCCGGCGUCGUGUUUCGCACUCGGCGUUCGGUACCGGUCGGCGACGAUUUCUUCGGGCCUCUUUCCGACCCGUCUUGAAACACGGACCAAGGAGUCUAACAUGCGCGCGAGUCGCGGGGUAUCGAGCGUACUACGGUGCGCUCGUUACGUCACGAAACCCGUACGUUGAAGGCGUAAUGAAAGUGAAUGGGGAAGAUGGUGUUCCGAGUCCACGUACCGUGAUCCAGUAUCGCGGCCGGACGCCCGCAUUCCCGGGGCGUCUCAACGGCUCGUCGCGGACGCGGACGGUCGUCUCUCGGGGCGGCCGUCGAUCUGCGACGGACCGA
rnacentral:rRNA from 1 species